rnacentral:rRNA from 1 species
AUUGAACGCUGGCGGCAGGCUUAACACAUGCAAGUCGAGCGGGGGAAGGUAGCUUGCUACCGGACCUAGCGGCGGACGGGUGAGUAAUGCUUAGGAAUCUGCCUAUUAGUGGGGGACAACAUCUCGAAAGGGAUGCUAAUACCGCAUACGUCCUACGGGAGAAAGCAGGGGAUCUUCGGACCUUGCGCUAAUAGAUGAGCCUAAGUCGGAUUAGCUAGUUGGUGGGGUAAAGGCCUACCAAGGCGACGAUCUGUAGCGGGUCUGAGAGGAUGAUCCGCCAAACUGGGACUGAGACACGGCCCAGACUCCUACGGGAGGCAGCAGUGGGGAAUAUUGGACGAUGGGGGGAACCCUGAUCCAGCCAUGCCGCGUGUGUGAAGAAGGCCUUAUGGUUGUAAAGCACUUUAAGCGAGGAGGAGGCUACUCUAGUUAAUACCUAGGGAUAGUGGACGUUACUCGCAGAAUAAGCACCGGCUAACUCUGUGCCAGCAGCCGCCGUAA